GACGAACGCUGGCGGCGUGCCUAACACAUGCAAGUCAAAGGAAAGCGGCUUCGGCCGGGAGUACUUGGCGCAAGGGUGAGUAAUGUAUAGGUAAUCUGCCCUUUGGACUGGCAUAACUCCGAGAAAUCGGGGACAAUACCAGAUGAUGCAGCGGAACCGCAUGGUUAUGUUGUUAAAGAUUUAUCGCCAAAGGAUGAACCUAUAUCCCAUCAGGUAGUUGGUAAGGUAACGGCUUACCAAGCCUACGACGGGUAGCUGGUCUGAGAGGAUGAUCAGCCACAUUGGAACUGAGACACGGUCCAGACUCCUACGGGAGGCAGCCUGAGACGCCAAGGCACACAGGGGAUAGG
rnacentral:rRNA from 1 species